rnacentral:rRNA from 1 species
GAUGAACGCUGGCGGCGUGCCUAAUACAUGCAAGUCGAGCGAACGGACGAGAAGCUUGCUUCUCUGAUGUUAGCGGCGGACGGGUGAGUAACACGUGGCUAACCUACCUAUAAGACUGGGAUAACUUCGGGAAACCGGAUCUAAUACCGGAUAAUAUUUUGAACCGCAUGGUUCAAAAGUGAAAGACGGUCUUGCUGUCACUUAUAGAUGGAUCCGCGCUGCAUUAGCUAGUUGGUAAGGUAACGGCUUACCAAGGCAACGAUGCAUAGCCGACCUGAGAGGGUGAUCGGCCACACUGGAACUGAGACACGGUCCAGACUCCUACGGGAGGCAGCAGUAGGGAAUCUUCCGCAAUGGGCGAAAGCCUGACGGAGCAACGCCGCGUGAGUGAUGAAGGUCUUCGGAUCGUAAAACUCUGUUAUUAGGGAAGAACAUAUGUGUAAGUAACUGUGCACAUCUUGACGGUACCUAAUCAGAAAGCCACGGCUAACUACGUG